AUUGAACGCUGGCGGCAGGCCUAACACAUGCAAGUCGAGCGGAGCGGCGGACGGGUGAGUAAUGCCUAGGAAUCUGCCUGGUAGUGGGGGAUAACGUACGGAAACGGGCGCUAAUACCGCAUACUAUCAGAUGAGCCUAGGUCGGAUUAGCUCGUGGGUGGGUUAAAGGCCUCCAAAGGCGACGAUCCGUAACUGGUCUGAGAGGAUGAUCAGUCACACUGGAACUGAGACACGGUCCAGACUCCUACGGGAGGCAGCAGUGGGGAAUAUUGGACAAUGGGCGAAAGCCGGAUGCAGCCAUGCCGCGUGUGUGAAGAAGGCCUUCGGGUUGUAAAGCACGUUCAGCGGGGAGGCGUUACCCGCAGAAGAAGCACCGGCUAACUCCGUGCCAGCCGCCGCGGUAAUUC
rnacentral:rRNA from 1 species